CCUCGAGCAAGGAUCAGAUCAUCAGCCGCGGCGCCUUGACCAUCGACGCCGCGCGUCUACAUGCGAUUUGGCAAGAUCAAAGCCUCGGGUUGACACUCACCGAGUUCUGGAUCGUACAUGCGCUCGCCAAGAACCCCGGCCACGUGAAGAAUCGGCAGCAACUGAUGGAUGCCGCCAACGUCGUCCUCGACGACAACACCAUCACCUC
rnacentral:misc_RNA from 1 species